AAUAGAUACCCGGGUAGUCCACGCCGUAAACGAUGAGUGCUAAGUGUUAGGGGGUUUCCGCCCCUUAGUGCUGCAGCUAACGCAUUAAGCACUCCGCCUGGGGAGUACGGUCGCAAGACUGAAACUCAAAGGAAUUGACGGGGGCCCGCACAAGCGGUGGAGCAUGUGGUUUAAUUCGAAGCAACGCGAAGAACCUUACCAGGUCUUGACAUCCUCUGACAAUCCUAGAGAUAGGACGUCCCCUUCGGGGGCAGAGUGACAGGUGGUGCAUGGUUGUCGUCAGCUCGUGUCGUGAGAUGUUGGGUUAAGUCCCGCAACGAGCGCAACCCUUGAUCUUAGUUGCCAGCAUUCAGUUGGGCACUCUAAGGUGACUGCCGGUGACAAACCGGAGGAAGGUGGGGAUGGACGUCAAAUCAUCAUGCCCCUUAUGACCUGGGCUACACACGUGCUACAAUGGACAGAACAAAGGGCAGCGAAACCGCGAGGUUAAGCCAAUCCCACAAAUCUGUUCUCAGUUCGGAUCGCAGU
rnacentral:rRNA from 1 species